rnacentral:tRNA from 9 species
GGUGCUUUGGCUCAGUUGGUAGAGCACAUCGUUCACAUCGAUGGGGUCACUGGUUCGAGUCCAGUAAGCACCACCA